GAGACAGGCAGGAUUUCAAAGUGGCACAGGAGACGUUUGGGAGUUUUGCAUAUGCACCAGCAAGGCUCUUGGAUCAAGCCCUACAGCAGAAAGCAAGCAGUAUGUGGUGCCGUGGAAGCAAGAUGCUAAGAAAAUACACCUGCGAACAGUGAUGUAUCAAUGGCUGGAGCGAGACAGGAGAGGAGGAACAGGAGGAGGAGAGUGAGAGAAACUGAUUGCCAACCUUAGUCCAGUGAAAACUUUGCUCCGAUAAUAUUUCCUUGGCCUGACCAAUCCAGAUCAACAAUCCUCUUCUUUGGUGAUUGAAUAAGGGAAGAAGCUCUGCUGGGUGACCUUGAACACAUCACUUCACUUCCUUGAGCUUCAAUAUACCUGCCAUCAAAUGGGAACAAUCAUGUUUACCUCCCUGAAUAGUCAAGAGGAUUAAAUUAAAUAGUGAGGUUCUGCCUAAUAAUGGAUUCAGAAACAGAACUUCUUACCUUUGUGGCAUGUGAGUGUUGUCAAUUAAAGGCAGAAGACAAAUUUUACA
rnacentral:lncRNA from 1 species